rnacentral:tRNA from 1 species
ACUUAAAUAAUUUAAAUAUAAAAUAUUGAUUUGUGGAAUCAAAAAUGUAAAUUUUACUUUAAGUU